rnacentral:rRNA from 1 species
UACGUAGGGUGCAAGCGUUGUCCGGAAUUAUUGGGCGUAAAGAGCUCGUAGGCGGUUUGUCGCGUCUGCUGUGAAAACUCGGGGCUUAACCCCGGGCCUGCAGUGGGUACGGGCAGACUAGAGUGCGGUAGGGGAGACUGGAAUUCCUGGUGUAGCGGUGAAAUGCGCAGAUAUCAGGAGGAACACCGGUGGCGAAGGCGGCAUCCUGGACCGAUACUGACGCUGAGGAGCGAAAGCCAGGGGAGCAAACGGG